rnacentral:rRNA from 1 species
AUGAACGCUGGCGGCGUGCCUAAUACAUGCAAGUCGAGCGAACGGACGAGAAGCUUGCUUUUCUGAUGUUAGCGGCGGACGGGUGAGUAACACGUGGCUAACCUACCUAUAAUACUGUGAUAACUUCGGGAAACCGGAUCUAAUUUCGGAUAAUAUUUUGCACCGCAUGGUUCAAAAGUGAAAGACGGUCUUGCUGUCACUUAUAGAUGGAUCCGCGCUGCAUUAGCUAGUUGGUAAGGUAACGGCUUACCAAGGCAACGAUGCAUAGCCGACCUGAGAGGGGGAUCGGCCACACUGGAACUGAGACACGGUCCAGACUCCUACGGGAGGCAGCAGUAGGGAAUAUUCCGCAAUGGGCGAAAGCCUGACGGAGCAACGCCGCGUGAGUGAUGAAGGUCUUCGGAUCGUAAAACUCUGUUAUUAGGGAAGAACAUAUGUGUAAGUAACUGUGCACAUCUUGACGGUACCUAAUCAGAAAGCCACGGCUAACUACGUG